rnacentral:rRNA from 1 species
GAUGAACGCUGGCGGCGUGCCUAAUACAUGCAAGUCGAGCGAACAGACGAGGAGCUUGCUCCUCUGACGUUAGCGGCGGACGGGUGAGUAACACGUGGAUAACCUACCUAUAAGACUGGGAUAACUUCGGGAAACCGGAGCUAAUACCGGAUAAUAUAUUGAACCGCAUGGUUCAAUAGUGAAAGACGGUUUUGCUGUCACUUAUAGAUGGAUCCGCGCCGCAUUAGCUAGUUGGUAAGGUACCGGCUUACCAAGGCAACGAUGCGUAGCCGACCUGAGAGGGUGAUCGGCCACACUGGAACUGAGACACGGUCCAGACGCCUACGGGAGGCAGCAGUAGGGAAUCUUCCGCAAUGGGCGAAAGCCUGACGGAGCAACGCCGCGUGAGUGAUGAAGGUCUUCGGAUCGUAAAACUCUGUUAUUAGGGAAGAACAAAUGUGUAAGUAACUAUGCACGUCUUGACGGUACCUAAUCAGAAAGCCACGGCUAACUACGUG